rnacentral:rRNA from 1 species
AAUGAUACACUCGUCUCAAAGAUUAAGCCAUGCAUGUCUAGUAUACAAAGUUUACUUUGAAACUGCGAACGGCUCAUUAACCAGUUAUAGUUUAUUUGAUAUUUUUCUCUACUGGGAUAACCGUAGUAAUUCUAGAGCUAAUACCUGCGCAACGUCCCGACUUUACAGAAGGGAUGCGUUUAUUAGAUCGAAACCAACACGGGGCAACCCGCUUUAAGGUGAUUCACAAUAAGCAAGCAAAUCGCACGGCGCAAGCCAGGCGAUGAGUCAUUCAAGUUUCUGCCCUAUCAGCUGCGAUGGUACGGUAUUGGCCUACCAUGGCUUUGACGGGUAACGGAGAAUUAGGGUUCGAUGCCGGAGAGGGAGCCUGAGAAACGGCUACCACAUCCAAGGAAGGCAGCAGGCGCGAAAAUUACCCAAUCCCAACUCGGGGAGGUAGUGACAAGAAAUACUUUGGCGGAGCCCUUUGGGUUCUGCCGUGGAAUGAGCACAAUUUAAAUCCCUUAGCGAGGAUCCAU